ACUUACGGCAACACCGGCCUGAGUACGCCUGAUCUCGUCCGAUCUCGGAAGCUAAGCAGGGUCGGGCCUGGUUAGUACUUGGAUGGGAGAUCGCCUGGGAAUACCAGGUGCUGUAAGCU
rnacentral:rRNA from 13 species